rnacentral:lncRNA from 1 species
CAGGCAUGUGCUUUUGCAGGAAGGACGCUGGACUCUUGCACUAUAAGUUGAAAACAUCGCUUAUAAACAAUACAUCACAGCACACUUGCAGAGAGAGCACUGGUUCAUCAAAAUAAGAUAUGAUCAAGGUACAAAAGAGUUAAAGAAGCUAUUUAUUUUAAUGUUUCCUUGGAGAGCACACUUGUUAUUGUAUGUAUGCAAAAGAUGAUCUUACUCUUGAGAGCCACUAGAACUCUUUGAAGAAAAAAAAAUGCUAUUUGCUAUAGGGAAAUCUUUCUGGAAAAGUAAUAAUUUCACCUUUGAGUCAGCUUCCCUGGACUCUUGCCUCAUACAUCUUCAGCCAAGAUGCCUGCCCCAGCUUUGCCUUCCACCAUGAGUAAAAGCUUCCCAAGUCCUCCCCAGAAGCAGAUGCUGGCGCUAUGCUUCUGGUACAGCCUGAAAAACCUUGAGCCAAUUAAACCUCAGUGAGCUCAAGAUGUCUUUGUUGAAACAGAACCUCCCGAAGUUACAGUAUUGGUUUUGGGGCUCCACACAGAGAACACAUCACGGAAGCUAUAAUUGAGGAAGACAAAGCUGUCAGGACGACACCAAGAGAGUUAGAAAGCCCAAGAGUGGAGCAUUCUUCACCAUGAUUCCACCUGACACUUGGCUGAAAGCAUUUUGCACUAAUUUGCUUUGUGCCCGUUCAGACAAUCUAAAAAGAAAGGAUGGGGGGACAACAAGUGUCUAUUACACAGAAUAAACAGCCUCUGGCAAAUGAAUACAUUUUACACACUUGUGCUUUUGGAGGGA